rnacentral:rRNA from 1 species
AUGCUGGACGUGGACGAAGUACACACAUGUACACGCAGCUUUUUUUUGAUCCGUUGCAUAUCAAAGCUUCAUUCAGACGAUGGACUGUCUUGCUCUACUUCGAAAUCGAAACAGGUGAGUCGUGUCCUUUUUAGGAUUGAACCAACUAAAGUGAAACCAAGAUACAGUUUCUGCAGCACUUAUGAGCAAAUUGUACAGGGGAAAGACAGGCGGCUGCUGCAGAACAAGGGAAGGAGUAGCAGCUAUCUGCUGUUUCAGUUGUUUAUGUGCGCUGAAGAUUGUUUGCACCCGUACCCUGAAGAAAGAAGACACAAGAUAGAUUCUAGAUAUACCUGGGAUAUGUUCAUCCGGGUUCAGUUAAUAAGUGCAUUAGUCAACAUUGUGGUGCAAUGA